AGAACUGGCAAUCUGAUAGGUGGAAUGAUGGAGUAACGCCCUGAAACGCCUACACUAAUACUUCGAUUAGCGGUAGAUAUUAGACUAUCUAACUGUUAAAAGCUCGGUGAAGUCGGCAGAGAGUAACCGUAAAUAACAAUUAAGUUAUACGAAAGCUGUUUAGAGGUAAAUGGUGUUACCUAUAUGUCGGGUGUCGAA
rnacentral:ncRNA from 1 species